rnacentral:rRNA from 1 species
AACGAACGCUGGCGGCGUGCCUAACACAUGCAAGUCGAGCGAGAAAGUCCCUUCGGGGGCGAGUAGAGCGGCGGACGGGUGAGUAAUACAUAGAUAAUCUAUCCUCGAGUUUGGGAUAACACUGCGAAAGCGGUGCUAAUACCGGAUAAGACCACGUCACCAAGGUGAUGCGGUAAAAGGUGGCUUUGUUUUCGGAUAAGGCUAUCACUUGAGGCUGAGUCUAUGGCCUAUCAGCUUGUUGGUGAGGUAAAGGCUCACCAAGGCUAUGACGGGUAGCUGGUCUAAGAGGACGACCAGCCACACUGGGACUGAGACACGGCCCAGACUCCUACGGGUGGCAG